AGAGAUACCAGGGUGCUGAGCCAGUCCAGGACUGCCCCCUCCUGGCCCACUCAGAGCCCCAGCCAAGGCCGCCGCGAUGCCGCACUUCCUGGACUGGUUCGUGCCGGUCUACUUGGUCAUCUCGGUCCUCAUUCUGGUGGGCUUCGGCGCCUGCAUCUACUACUUCGAGCCGGGCCUGCAGGAGGCGCACAAGUGGCGCAUGCAGCGCCCCCUGGUGGACCG
rnacentral:lncRNA from 1 species